rnacentral:rRNA from 1 species
SGGAGGCAGCAGUGGGGAAUCUUAGACAAUGGGGGAACCCUGAUCUAGCCAUGCCGCGUGAGUGACGAAGGCCCUAGGGUCGUAAAGCUCUUUCGCCAGGGAAGAUAAUGACUGUACCUGGUAAAGAAACCCCGGCUAACUCCGUGCCAGCAGCCGCGGUAAUACGGAGGGGGUUAGCGUUGUUCGGAAUUACUGGGCGUAAAGCGCACGUAGGCGGAUUAGUCAGUCAGAGGUGAAAUCCCAGGGCUCAACCCUGGAACUGCCUUUGAUACUGCUAGUCUUGAGUUCGAGAGAGGUGAGUGGAAUUCCGAGUGUAGAGGUGAAAUUCGUAGAUAUUCGGAGGAACACCAGUGGCGAAGGCGGCUCACUGGCUCGAUACUGACGCUGAGGUGCGAAAGCGUGGGGRGCAAACAGGAUUAGAUACCCUGGUAGUCCACGCCGUAAACGAUGAAUGCCAGUCGUCAGGAGACUUGU